UGGACGUUACUCGCAGGAAUAAGCACCGGCUAACUCUGUGCCAGCAGCCGCGGUAAUACAGAGGGUGCAAGCGUGAAUCGGAUUUACUGGGCGUAAAGCGCGCGUAGGUGGCCAAUUAAGUCAAAUGUGAAAUCCCCGAGCUUAACUUGGGAAUUGCAUUCGAUACCUGGUUGGCUAGAGUAUGGGAGAGGAUGGUAGAAUACCNAGGUGUAGCGGUGAAAUGCGUAGAGAUCUGGAGGAAUACCGAUUGGCGAAGGCAGCCAUCUGGCCUAAUACUGACACCUGAGGUGCGAAAGCAUGGGGAGCAAACAGGAUUAGAUACCCUGGUAGUCCAUGCGGUAAACGAUGUCUACUANCCGUUGGGGC
rnacentral:rRNA from 1 species